CAGAAGCGAAGAGCUGCAGACGACGGAGAAAAGGGAAGCGCGCCCCAAGCCGCACAAAGGUGGCCGCCGGUGUCCCAAGCACCGACCGCCAUCCCCGGCAGGACGCAGGCAGGAGCCUCGGCCAGGCUACCUCGCCUGGCCCGCGGACUCCGCGCGGCACGUGGGCACCUGCGGCACGGGGGCGAAUCCACGUGUUGUGGGGCUUGAAACUGAAACAACUGUGAGUAGAGGUGGCGAAUCUUCAAGGGAAGUAUAAAAUGAGAUUCUGGGAUUAGCAAGCAUCUGUGCGCGUGAGGGGGCCCGAAGCUUAAGCUUCAUUAGCUUCACGUCUCAAACUGCCUCUGCAAUGUUCUUCAUGAGAUUAAUUAAGUGCGAGAAUUAAAUGAGGUGAGCCGCGAACGGGGCCUAGCAUAGUGCGGGGCGCACUCAGCAGGUGUUGUUUAUAGGGAUCAUUUCCCUGUAACUGGCCAGGUGGACUUGGGAGAGGAGGAAAUAAUGCUGAUUGUCAGUUAUGUGCCAGGUGUUAGAAUACGUGUUAAACUCAAUUCAUAUGCCAACGCGUGCGUAAGCAAUAUGCCAGUUUUAUAGCUCAGAACACCGAGGCUCAGGGAGUCACGUAACUUGUUCAUGGUUUCACCGAAAACCCAAUUCUGCCACGUUGCAAAGACCCGCUUUUUCCACAGUUCCAUCUCACAAAUAUGAAUAUGUAACUAUGUUACCAUAACUUGUUGUUUGGGCAAGAGAAGAAAUUCCCCCAUGAGUGAAUUGUUAAUGAAUUUUCAGUGCAAAAUUUCCCCAGCUCAUGCAACAGCAAAGAAGACUUGCCCUGCAUAUGAAAUACCUGGAAAAUCAACAAAUUUACUGAAAUGUGUUCAGGUUACACAUUUGCUUGCUCUGUUAGGACUAUGUGUUUAGUUUUUAUAUUGGUUAUUAAUACUACUGCACUUCAGAUGAAUGAGUUUAUAAUCUAUCCCCAAAGGGCGUAUAAACGAAGACAACAACAUAAGGAAAGGAACUUUCCUGUUCAAGGCACUUCAUUCUUUUUCUCAUUGAAUUUCAAAAUCUCUAUGCUGUAGUUGUAAUACCCUCAAUUAACUAAUGAAAACUCAAAAGUAGAUUAAGUUGUCUAAGUUCACACAGAUAGUCAGGAUUUGAACCCACCUGAUUUGCCUGGAUUCUAAAUCUUAGCUCUUUUUUCUGCACUUUGGGGGAGAAGAGAAGAAACUAUUUUAAAUGCAUGAAGUCAGGCUGGGCGCGGUAGCUCACGCCUGUAAUCCCAGUACUUUGGGAGGCUGAGGCUGGCAAGUUUGAGACCAGCCUGGCCAAUAUGGUGAAACCCCUUCUCUACUAAAAAUACAAAAAAAUGAGCUGGGCAUGCUGGUGGGCACCUGUAAUUCCAGCUACUCGGGAGGCUGACGCAGGAGAAUUGCUUGAACCUGGGAGGCAGAGGUUGCAAUGAGCCGAGAUAGGGCCAUUGCACUCCAGCCUGGGCAACAAGAGUGAGACUCCAUCUCACAAAAAAUAAAUAAAAUAAAAUAAAAUAAAAUAAAAUACAUGAAGUCAUUUAUGUUUUGCAAAGUGGAAGAAAAGAGUAUAUCAAAAGUAAGUCGUUAUUUUAAGUUUCUAUUGCAGGAGAACUAAACAGAAAGCUUAGAUCCACAACUUAGUUAUUUAGGGUGAGGAAGGGAGAGUGCCUGCUACAGUGCCAGGCACAUAAUAGGACAUUCGUUGCAUGAAUGAAUGAAUUCAUAAAAGAAUUAGUGAAAUUCUUUUGGGUCGUUGGUAGUGCCUCUUAAGUCACAGCCUUUCAAUAUGUAGUUCUUAUAAAAUGCCAGUAUCGUGAAGAGAUUUUCCCCCCUCUACUUUUGUUCUCCCUCUUGGGUAAUAAAAGGGACAAAUCAAAUUUUUAGGGGGAGCAAAAGGAGAGUGGAAGCAGGAAAGGACAGAGAAGAAUAAAAGGAUCAUAGGAAUAAGGAGAAGGAGAAUGAGACACAUCCUUUCCGUUGCCUCUUCAGAGAGAAAGAUUUUAUAUCUGUCAGAAACAUGAAUAAAACUACAAAAGUGCAUUAAAUUUUCUAACUAAAUUGUGAAAUAGUUUGUUAUUGUAUUACUGUAAAAGCAACAAUAUUUUGUUAAGACAGAAAAUAAACCUUGCACCCAUGCACACUCCCACCCCACAACAUGUGAGUCCAGCUGUGGCUCGGAUGGGGUAGGCAGAUGGGAGAUUGCACAUUUAGAUAAAGAA
rnacentral:lncRNA from 10 species